rnacentral:lncRNA from 1 species
AACAUCCGCUAUAAACAAUGAAAUGCAUCAACUGCGGAACAAAGUGUAAUAGUCUUUAUAGACAUUACUCUAAAGAUAUAAUACAACUGGAACACUGCGUAAGUAAUAUUUAAUAUUUAGAAGACAAUUUAUAACCCAUAGCAUACCAAAACAUUGAAUGCAUCACAUAAUAAACUUCGAUUUGUUGCCACACGAUAAUUUCACAUGUCUUCUUCUUCUUCCCGGUUACGAGUCAAACUCUGUUCUAAAGUGAAAUUGACUCGUGCGCAACUCAAACAGACAUCUUUGUCCUUCUUCUUCCAGUAAGCGGCCAUCGUCAACUUUUUGACUGUUCUGCCACGUUUAUGGAGUGCGCGCAUGAAUAAAAUUUUAAAUUUAACAAAAAACAAAAACAAAAACUAGGUGAGAUUUAUAUACAAGUGCAAAUAAAAACGUGUCAAUUUAAUUUACUGACGGAGCUGAGCCUUGAAAGAUUAAGGACUCGGGGCAGAGACCUUAUAGUUGGGCAAGGUGUUCCACUCUCUUAUUGUUCUAGGAUAGAACGACUCCUUUCGAACUGUUGUUUUGCAUGAUGGAAUUCUAAAUGCUUUUUCGUUGUUAUUCCUGGAAGGACGUUCAUUUGGUAUCAGUUUAUUUGAUGUAUCAAUCUUUACAUAGUUGUUAUUAAGCUUGUACAUCAUUAUCAGUCUGCUCUGUUUUCUUCGUUCUUGUUGUGUAGUCCAUUCUAGAUGUUCAAGCAUGUCACUAACAGAUGAAGUGUUGUGGUAUCUGUUAGUAACAUACCUUGCUGCUCAUCUUUGGACCAUUUCCAAUCUAUAAAUAUCCUUUUGUUGGUACGGGUCCCAUACUGAACUAGCAUAUUCCAAUCUUGGUCUGACGAGGGACACAUAUGCUUUUUCUUUUAUAUAGACUUGUUGGAGAUGUUUAAGUUCCUUUUAAGAAAACUGAUGGUAUUGUUUGCUUUGGAGGAGAUGUUGCUAAUGUGUUUACCCCAUUUUAGAUCUGUUGCAAUGGUACAUCCCAGGUAUUUUGCUGCUGCAACAUGUUCAAGGUUAUGGCAAUGUAGUGUGUAACUGUAUUUAGCUGGUGUUCGCUUUUUGGAGAUGAUGAGUACGUUACAUUUAUCAGGAUGAAACUUCAUGAGCCAUUUCGUUUCCCAUUCAGCUAGUUUGUCAAGGUCCUUUUGAAGGUUUUCUGAAUCUGCAUCGGAUGAAAUUGUGACAUACGCAAUUGUGUCACCAGCAAACAGUUGUACAGUUUUCGAUCCCUGGGGCAUGUUCAUUUAUAUAGAAUAGGAAAAGACUUCGGUCCUAGGACAGAUCCUUGGGGUACGCCGGACUCCACAGGUAUCGAGGUUGAUGUUUCUCCCUCCACCACUACUGAUUGUGUUCUAUCAUCGAGGAAGUUCUUUAUCCACUCAUUUGUUUUACUGUUAAUCAUAAUGAUUCAGUUUGUGGAUGAGAAGGCUAUGACAAACCUUGUCAAAUGCCUUUGAGAAGUCCAUUAUGAGACAAUUAUGUCAUCGAUGAAUUCAAUGAGUUGUGACUCACAUGAUAGUCCUCUCUGGAAGCCAUGUUGUAAAGGAUACAUGAUGUUUUGUGCAUCAGCAUGAGACAUAAUGUGACUAGUUACAAUAUGCUCCAUUAGUUUGCAUGAUAAACAGGGGAGUGAAACUGGUCUAUAAUUAAUUGGAUCGUUUUUCUUCCCUUUCUUAUACACUGGACAGAUGUUAGCUGAUUUCCAAAUACUUGGCACAUCCCCUGUAAGAUAUGAGCGGCAGAAUAUAAUUGUCAGUAUUGGAGCUAUGUUUGAUGCAAGUUCUUCAAGGACUCGAGGUGUUAUGCUGUCUGGUCCAGCUGCUUUGUUUGGAUUUAGGUUUUUCAGAAGUUUGUUCACAUCAUUUUCUGUAAUAUUGAUGUCGGAGAUGUUUUGAAAUUUACCAGACAUAUUACACUGCUUUUGGAAUUCUUGGUUUGAUAUGUUGGUUUUGUCUGAAAAGGCUUUCUGAAAUUGUCCGUUGAGUAUAUCUGCCUUUUCUGUUGGUUCUGAUUGUAGAGUUCCAUUAUAUUUUAGGGGAGGUAUUGUAAUCCCAUCUGAUCUCUUGUGUUUUAUAAAGCCUUAAAAGGUCCAGAAUCUCUUCAUGCAGUUUGGUUUUUCUAUACUGUCGAUGUAAUUCUAGUAAGCUUUCCUGAUUCUCUCUGUGUGCGACAUUUUAUGUUUCUUUGUUUGUUUUUGUCGCCUCCAUUUCCAGAUUUUUUCAUUCUCAUAUACCAUCUAUCCCUCUUUCUUAUUAGGCGUUUGAUGUCAGUUGUAAUUCAGGGACUACCAUCCUUCUUUCUAGCGGUCUUUUUUAGUACAUUUUUAUGCCCCACCUACGAUAGUAGAGGGGCAUUAUGUUUCUGGUCUGUGCGUCCGUUUCGUCCGUUCCGUUCGUUCGUUCGUUCGUCGUCCGUCUGUCGUCAGGUUAAAGUUUUUGGUCAAGGUAGUUUUUGAUGAAGCUGAAGUCCAAUCAACUUGAAACUUAGUACACAUGUUCUUAUGAGAUGAUCUUUCUAAUUUAAAUGCCAAAUUAGAGUUUUUGACCCCAAUUUUACGGUCCACUGAUAGAAAAUGAUAGUGAAGUUUCAGGUUAAAGUUUUUUUCAGGUUAAAGUUUUGGUCAAGGUAGUUUUUGAUGAAGUUGAAGUCCAAUCAACUUGAAACUUAGUAUACAUGUGCUAUGAUAUGAUCUUUCUAAUUUUAAAUGCAAAUUAGAGUUUUGACCCCAAUUUUACGGUUGCACAUAGAAAUGAUAGUGAUUUUUCAGGUUAAAGUUUUUGGUUCAAGGUAGUUUUGAUGAAGUUGAAGUCCAAUCAAUUGAAACUUAGUAACAUGUGCCCUAUGAUAUGAUCUUUCUAAUUUAAUGCCAAAUAGAGUUUUGACCCCAAUUUUACGUUCCACUGAACAUAGAAAAUGAUAGUGCAAAUUUCAGGUUAAAGUUUUUGGUCAAGGUACUUUGAUGAAGUUGAAGUCCAAUCACUUGAACUUAGUAUACAUUGCCCUAUGAUAUGAUCUUUCUAAUUUAAAUGCCAAAUUAGAGUUUUGACCCCAAUUUUACGGUCACUGAACAUAGAAAAUGAUAGUGGCAAAUUUCAGCGUUAAAGUUUUUGGCUUAAAGUUAAAGUUUUUGGUCAAGGUAGUUUUUGAUGAAGUUGAAGUCCAAUCAACUUGAAAUUAGUAUACAUGUGCCCUUAGAUCUUCUAAUUUAAAGCCAAAUUAGAGUUUUGACCCCAAUUUUACGGUUCACUGAACAUAGAAAAUGAUAGUGCAAAUUUCAGGUUAAAGUUUUUGGUCAAGGUACUUUUUGAUAAAGUAGAAGUCCAAUCAACUUGAAACUUAGUAUACAUGUUCCCUUUGAUAAGAUCUUCUAAUUUAAUGCCAAAUUAGAGAAUAUUCAUUUUCACAGUCCUUUAAACAUAGAAAAUGAUAGUGUGAGUGGGGCAUCCGUGUACUGUGGACACAUUCUUGUUACUUAUGCUUUCUUCCAAUUUAGUUUGAAAGUGUGUCCACAGUGCAUCUACUCUCUCUUACUGUUCAUUCAUUGAGAUAAUAUCUUUAUAUAGGUUAUUAAGGUCAACUUUCAUAUGUUCUCAAUUUGUAUAAUGGUAUAAUCCUCGGUUUUUUUUUUAUAGAUUUCAAGGCAUUAAGAUUCACUUCUGCAAAAACGAUAUCAUGGUCAGAAAUUCCGGGUAAGGUUUUAACUCUCAUGAAGCUAUCUGGAUGAUUUGUUACAACAAGGUCAGUGUAUUUGGUCCUCUAGUAGGUUUGUUUACAAGUUGUGCCAUGCCAUUAUCAUCAUCCAAUAUGUCAGCAAACUUUUCGUGAUUUGCAACGCAUUGAGUGAGUAACUUUAUUUCUUUGCUAGACCAGUCCCAGCCUGGUAGAUUGAAGUCACCAGCUGAGAUGAUAAAAGCAUUUCUUAUUUUGCUAGCUCUUUCAAUGCUUAUUCCAUAUUCAGUAUAUCCCUUUUUGUUUGAUGUUUUAGGGUUGUAAUAACUGGAGAGAUAGACGGUUUUAUGACCAAUAAUCUCCAUCUUGCACCAAACAAUCUCACAGUCGGUUUGCAGUUCUGGUACUGAUGAUGUAAUGUAUGCGUCAUUCACGGCUAUGAGUACUCCCCCUCCACUUAAGUUCCUGUCAUUCCUGUAAAUAUUAUAAUCUUCUGGAAAAUAUUGUGUAUCUUUUAUUGAUGCAUCUAGCCAGGUCUCAGUUCCAAAAUAAUGUCUGGCUUUGUGCUUGUACUUUCACAAUAAAUAAUUUAUUAAUCAGUUCACCCUGUUUGUUUCUUAUAGUUGGAAGUUGACGUUUAAUACCCGUAUAGUUUUAGGAUUUAUCAUCUUGCUCUUUUUUCUUUUUUGUUUUCCUCUCUGGCGUUGAUGUAUGUAGUGGUUUUAUGACACCAGGUGUUGGACUGUUGAUGACGAUAUUUGAUAGUAUGCUAAAUUGAUUUGAGGUGCUGAAAACUAAAGAAUAGCAGAAGGUGGAGUAAUUUGACAAUUACACAUGAUGCAAUCCCAUGCAAUGGCUGAGUCAUUUCCAUGUUCUAAGUAUGACUUGGUUUGCAUAGACUGGCAACUGACGUGGUACCAUUGGUUGCAUGUAUCACAAACGAUACCUCUUCUUGCCAUGCUACUGGUUGGUCGCAUGUGCCACAUGGAUAAACAGUUCCACUUGUAUCUUAACAUUCAGGUCCAAGGUUCAUGUUUACAUCAUUUAAUAACAAGAUUAGUAUCAUUGAGAUGUAUGUUUAGUUCCCAUUCUUCCAGCGAGGUAAGGUAUUUUUGCAGCAAGUCUUUAUCUUUUGUUUUCCUAAUGCGGCGGAAGAGUAGAUAGUCAUCAGCAAACAGUCGACCGCUUGAUGUUGUUGCGUCUGGGAGGUCGUUGAUAUAGAAUAGAAAGAGUAAGGGGCCCAUCUUAGUACCCUUGGGGUACUCCAGAUACUACGUCAAGAGUGGUUUUCGAGAAUCAAACAAUGAGGUAUGUUGGUUAGAAGCUGGAAACCUCUUGCCCCGUAGUACUUCAUUUCAUGAAGUAGUCUGGCAUGUGGUACCUUAUCAAAGGCCUUGGCGAAGUCUAACAUGAUGAUGUAUGUCUGGUCGCCGUCCUCCAUAUUCUUAGCUAUUUCGUGUAUAGUUAUUACCAGUUGGGACUCGCAUAAUAGUUUGGUUCUAAACCCAUGUUGUUCGUCGCAAAGGAUGGUGUUUUGGUAAAAGUGGCCCAUGAUAGAACUGUUGACUAUGUGCUCUAGCAGCUAACAUGUGAUGGAUGUCAAGGACACUGGACGAUAAUUUGCUGCUGUGUGUACUGUGUUUUCCACCUUUCUUAAAGACUGGGACUAUGUUGGUUGUACUCUUGGUCUGGUACUGAUCCCUGGUACAAUGCUAAUCAAGUAUAGAGUGUGCAUUGACGGAUAAUUGAACUACUAUAUAGUUCCUGCCAUCUCUAACAACUACCCAAACUAAUACAAUAAGGCAGAGACAGAGAGAACAUAAAAAAAAGCAAAAGCAAGUUGCAAAAAAGUGUAUCAACGCUACAAUCAUUAAAUGCUAAAUUUCCAGAUAAGUAUUCGUCAAGCUCACAUAACUUUUUGAAGCCCAUGACCUCAUAAGUUCAAAACCAAACUGGAACACUAAGACCUUCUGGUCCUUUAUCAAGUAGCACAAUUGCGCAGUGUAGAAGGUCUGGCAAAUGAUUUCUAUUUACAUAACGAUAAUAGGUGGUAUAAUCGAUACCAUAUACCACCCCAUGGCCACACUAUAGAGACGGAUACUGUUAGCAGAUACUUUGACCCUUCAACUUUAUGCUUGUCUGGCUUUCUAAUUGUUAAGAUUUGAGCGUCAGUGAUGAGUCUUGUGUAGACAAAACGUGCAUCUGGCCUAUCAAAUUAUAAGCCUGGUACCUUUGAUAACUAUUUGACCAUCAGCCAAGAUCUAUAAUGACACAAUCACAUUGCUCAGACAAGAGACAAAGCUUAAAGAAGCUCAAAGAACAGUUGGGAUCUGGGGACGCAUCAACAUGAAUUAUCCACAGUGAGUUAAUCCAUGGCAUUUACUAGUGUAUUUGAGUAACUUUUAGUAUAAGUCUCAGUAGUCUAGGUACCAUAUUAUUACAAUCAAAUUCAACGAUACAUAAAAAAGAUAUGCCAGUCAGCAGUAUUUUACCAUGUUUACUACAGGAACUACAAAUCACGAAACCCUGAAUGUUCACUUACUUGCUUCACUAAUUACCUCUGGAUUCUUAAAACAACGAAUGGCGAGCGAUAUAAUCUUCUUUUUUCGUCAAUUACCUAUAGCUUUGUAAAUUCCCCGUCCAACACGUACUAGAAACACAAUCAGUGGGACGUGGACUUCCCAAGCUAACAAGAUCAGGCAAUAAACUCAUCAUAGAUAUCAGGACUAAAUUUUGUAUAUACGCCAGACGCGCGUUUCGUCUACAAAAGACUCAUCAGUGACGCUCGAUCCAAAAAAGUAAAAAGGCAAAUAAAGAACGAAGUUGAAGAGCAUUAGGAACAAAAUCCUAAAAGUUUCCAAAUCCAGCUAAAUUAUCUAUCCUGAGGUGAAAGCCUUAGUAUUCAAAAUUCUAGUACCAGAGUUGAUGUAUAUAAACCUUAUACCCCAGGAGUAGAUUACCUUAGCCAUAUUUGACACAACUUUUAGGAAUUUUUGAUCCUCAAUGCUCUUCAACUUUGUAUUUAUUUGGCUUUUUAACUAUUUUGAUCUGAGCGUCACUGAUGAGUCUUAUGUAGACGAAACGCGCGUCUGGCGUAUAAAAUUAUAAUCCUGGUACUUUUGAUAACUAUUUACACCACUGGGUCGAUGCCACUGUUGGUGGACGUUUCGUCCCCGAGGGUUUCACCAGCCCAGUGGUCAGCACUUUGGUGUUGACAUGAAUUUCAAUUAUAUGGUCAUUUUUAUUAAUUUCCUGUUACAAAACUUUGAAUUAUUCGAAAAACUAAGGAUUCUUAUCCCAGGAGUAGAUUACCUUAGCCGUAUGGCACAACUUUUCGAAUUUUGGGGAUUUUCAAAGCUCUUCACUUUUGUAUUUUGGCUUUUUAAACUAUUUUUGAUACUGAGCGUCACUGAUGAGUCUUAUUUAGACGAAACGCGCGUCUGGCGUAUAAAAUUAUAAUUCCUGGUACAUUUUUGUGAUAACUAUUUACAAACCACUGGGUCGAGCCACUGGCUGGUGGACGUUUCUCCCCGAGGGUAUCACCAGCCCAUAGUCAGCACUUCGGGUUGACAUGAAUAUCAAUUAUGUGGUCAUUUUUAUAAAUUUUCUGUUUUAAAACCUUGAAUUUUUCGAAAAAAACUAAGGAUUUUCUUACCCCAGAGCUAGAUUACCUUAGCCGUAUUUGGCACAACUUUUUGAAUUUGGAUCCUCAAUGCUCUUCAACUUUGUAUUGAUUUGGCUUUUUUAAACUAUUUUGAUCUGAGCGUCACUGAUAGUCUUAUGUAGACGAAACGCGCGUCUGGCGUAUAAAAAUUAUAAUCCUGGUACUUUUUGAUAACUAUUUACACCACUGGUCGAUGCCACUGCUGUGACGUUUCGUCCCCGGUAUCACCACCCAGUAGUCAGCACUCGUUUGACAUGAAUAUCAAUUAUGUGGUCAUUUUUAUAAAUUUCUGUUUACAAAACCUUGAAUUUUCGAAAAAACUAAGGAUUUCUUAACCCCAGGAGUAGAUUACCUUAGCCGUAUUUGGCACAACUUUUUGGAAUUUUGGAGCCUCAAUGCUCUCAACUUGUAUUAUUUGGCUUUUUUAACUAUUUGAUCUGAGCGUCACUGAUGAGUCUUAUUAGACGAAACGGCGUCUGGCGUAUAAAAUUAUAAUUCCUGGUACUUUUGAUAACUAUUUACACCACUGGGUCGAUGCCACUGCUGGUGGACGUUUCGUCCCUAGGUAUCACCAGCCCAGUAGUCAGCACUUCGGUGUUGACAAUGAAUAUCAAUUAUGUGGUCAUUUUAUAAAUUUUCUGUUUACAAAACUUGAAUUAUUCGAAAAAACUAAGGAUUUCUUACCCCAGGAGUAGAUUACCUUAGCCGUAUUGGCACAACUUUUUGAAUUUUGGAUCUCAAUGCUCUUCAACUUUGUAUUUUUGGCUUUUUAACUAUUUUGAUCUGAGGCACUGAUGAGUCUUAUGUAGACGAAAACGCGCGUCUGGCGUAUUAAAAUUAUAAUCCUGGUACCUUUUGAUAACUAUUUACACCACUGGGUCGAUGCCACUGCUGGUGGACGUUUCGCCCCGAGGUAUCACCAGCCCAGUAGUCAGCACUUCGGUGUUGACAUGAAUAUCAAUUAGUGGUCAUUUUUAUAAAUUUUCUGUUUACAAAACCUGAAUUUUUCGAAAAACUAAGGGAUUUCUUACCCAGGAGUAGAUUACCUUAGCCGUAUUUGGCACAACUUUUUGGAAUUUUGGAUCCUCAAUGCUCUUCAACUUUUAUUUAUUUGGCCUUUUUAACUAUUUUGAUCUGAAGCGUCACUGAUGAGUCUUAUGUAACGAAACGCGCGUCGGCGUAUAAAAUUAUAAUCCUGGUACUUUUGAUAACUAUUUACACCACUGGGUCGGAUGCCACUGCUGGUGACGUUUCGUCCCGAGGGUAUCACCAGCCCAGUAGUCAGCACUUCGUGUUGACAUGAAUAUCAAUUAUAUGGUCAUUUUAUAAAUUUCUGUUUACAAAACUUUGAAUUUUCGAAAAACUAAGGAUUUUCUUACCCCGGAGUAGAUACCUUAGCCGUAUUUGGCACAACUUUUGGAAUUUUGGAUCUCAAUGCUCUUCAACUUUGUAUUGAUUUGGCUUUUUAACUAUUUGAUCUGAGCGUCACUGAUGAGUCUUAUGUAGACGAAACGCGCGUCUGGCGCUAUAAAAUUUAUAAUCCUGGUACUUUUGAUAACUAUUUACACCACUGGUCGAUGCCACUGCUGGUGACGUUUCGUCCCCGAGGUAUCACCAGCCCAGAUCAGCACUUCGGUGUUGACAAUAUCAAUUAUUGCGUCAUUUUUAUAAAUUUUUGUUACAAAACCUUGAAUUUUUCGAAAACUAAGGAUUUUCUUACCCCAGAGUAGAUUACCUUAGCCGUAUUUGGCACAACUUUUUGGAAUUGGUCUCAAUGCUCUUCAACUUUGUAUUGAUUUGGCUUUUUAACUAUUUGAUCUGAGCGUCACUGAUGAGUCUUAUGUAGACGAAACGCGCGUCUGGCGUAUAAAAUUAUAAUCCUGGUACUUUUGAAACUAUUUACACCACUGGUCGAUGCCACUGCUGUGGACGUUUUCGUCCCCGAGGUAUCACCAGCCCAGUAGUAGCACUUCGGUGUUGACAUGAAUAUCAAUAUGUGUCAUUUUUAUAAAAAUCUGUUUACAAAACUUAAUUUUCGAAAAACUAAGGAUUUCUACCCCAGAGUAGAUUACCUAGCCGUAUUUGCACAACUUUUUGGAAUUUGGAUUCUCAAUGCCCUUCAACUUUGUAUUAUUUGGCUUUUAACUAUUUGAUCUGAGCGUCAUGAUGAGUCUUAUGUAGACAAACGCGCCUCUGCGCGUAUAAAUACUAAUCCUGUACUUUUAUAACUAGUUACACACUGUCCGAGCCCACUGCUGGGAGUUUCGUCCCGAGGGUACACCAGCCCAUAGUCAGCACUUGGUGUGACAUGAAUAUCAAUUAUAAGUCAUUUUUAUAAAUUUCUGUUUACAAAACUUUGAAUUUUUCGAAAAACUAAGGAUUUUCUUACCCCAGGAGUAGAUUACCUUAGCCGUAUUUGGCACAAUCUUUUGGAAUUUUGGGUCCUCAAUGCUCUUCAACUUUGUAUUUGUUUGGCUUUUUAACAGUUUUGAUUUGAGCGUCACUGAUGAGUCUUAUGUAUACGAAACGCCGUCUGGCUAUAAAAUUAUAAUCCUGUACUUUGAUAACUAUUUACACCACUGGUCGAUGCCACUGCUGGUACGUUCGUCCCCGAGGGUUCACCAGCCCGUAGUCAGCACUCGGUGUUGACAUGAAUAUCAAUUAUAUGUCAUUUUUAUAAAUUUUCCGUUACAAAACUUGAAUAUCGAAAACUAGGAUUUUUACCCCAGGAGUAGGUUACCUUAGCCGUAUUUGGCACCACUUUUGGAAUUUUGGAUCUCAAUGCUCUUCAACUUUGUAUUAUUUGCUUUUUAACUAUUUUGAUCUGAGCGUCACUGAUUGAGUUCUUAUGUAGACGAAACGCCGUCUGUCAUAAAAUUAUAAUCCUGGUACUUUUGAUAACUAUAUUCAUUCCUCAUACUAUUAAGAUGUGGAUCGAACGCUUUGUCUUCAUAUCUAAGACAACUGCACACUACAAACUGUUAACAAAUCUACAUACAAACUUUUAAGUAAUCAUCCACAGAACCCAAUCAUUUAUUUUUAAGUGCCGAUACAGUUUUAAAAUACCAUUUUUUACUGUACGGCCAAUAAAUGCCUCAGAGUCUGGAGUAGUUAAUCUCGUCUGAUGAGCCAACUCCAUAUCUGGGGAAAAAGAUUCAAAUCAUAAAUUAUAUAGGAAUAUUACAAAUGUACCUUUAAUAUCACAAGCAUGGGAUCCCGGGUCAUGGAAGGCAAAAGUAGUACACCGGUGGAUCCCGAGUCAAUAAAGACAACAGUAGUAAACUGGUGUUUAAAAGUCAUAAAUCGAUUGAGAGAAAACAAAUCCGGGUUACAAAUCAAAACCUGGGGAAACACAUUAAAUAUAAUAGGAAAACAAAGGAACAACGGGAACACCGAAGUGUAACAAACCACAAACGCCGACAUACAUAUAACAUGUAGAAACGAGCUAUUUGAUAACAACUGCCAUAUUCAUGACUUGGUACAGAACAUGUUAAAAAAAUAUCGCUAAAACACUAUGUUACAAAAAUACAGCGCACACAAAUAGUAUAACAGCCGACACAAAAUGCAAACCGCAAAACAACAAUGAACAUAUUCCAUUAACGACAAACACAAAAGGAUAUCGGAAUCAGUGACGCGCUUACGUAGCUAACAUGCAAUCUCGAACUUUUUUCAAUUAUUUUAACAAUAUUCGUCCAAACAAUUUUCAUGACAAUAAUGGUAUGGAUAGGGAAUUUUAUAAUUAUUUGGACUGCAAACGAUAACACAAAACAGAUUUUCAAACCGAGACUAUAUCAGAAACACAAAAAAUAAAUCCAUGAAUGUUGGAUGUACAGGGAAUGCACAAAACACCGAGAUAAGCCGCACAGCAAUGCAAAUUCUCAUUCAGUAUAACUGCCAUAUUCGGGAAUAUGACAAUGAUAAUAUUGAAACUUAACUUUAUAUUUAUUUGGAGAACAAACGAUACUGCAUAACACAUUAUUCAUCCGCUGCUUCAAGACGAUCUGUUCGAGUAGUACUAGUAGACCAGAAUCCCAAAACAUGAUCAAAGUUUUGUGAAAUCAACUCCUGAUAUCUGACCUACAUCUAGAAUUGAAUAUGAUUGUCGGUUGAGAAUAACACACUUUUGGAUCCUCAAUGCUCUUCAACGCUCUUCAACUUUGUAUUUGUUUGGCUUUAUAACUAUUUUGAUAUGAGCGUCACUGAUGAGUCUUUUGUAGAUGAAACGCGUGUCUGGCGUACUAAAUUAUAAUCCUGGUACCUUUGAUAACUAUUUACGACAAAAAGAUAAUUCGAGCUUUCAAAUCGAGAACUUUCUAUUAAAUGUUAAGAAGCAAAUUCUAAGCAGCGUAUGCAUAUGGAAUAUAUAUCUCCCAGUUGAUCCGAUAUUCCAGAACUUGCAUUUCCUUAGAUUUUAGUUUCAGAAAAGGUGACAAAAGAUGAUACCAUUAAUGUGUGAUUAACACCUCUUUUAUUUUCCAUACAAGAACCCUGAAAGUUGAUGGACAGAUUGUAUCCAUACAUAGUUGUAAUCCAGUUUUUACGUAUAUAUUUUAGGAUUCUUUUUGAGAUAUUACCAAAACCAUGGACAAGAUUUUAAAACUGGGAAUGACAAAUAGAUUCACAAUAUUUGUUUUAUAGAUCUAGAAUGUUUUAAAAAUGAAAAUAAAUUCAUAUCAUGAUUUCAAACGUCAUAAGCGCUUACCUAGAGUAACCUUCAACAGGAAAGCUCAUACCAUGAUAUGUCCAAGCCAGGCGUAUAAAUUUUUGGUUACGAAAGGAGCAUUAAGAAAAAUAAAAAUUUCUUUUGAAUAUUUGUUUCAACUAUUUUGCACCUCUAAAUUCUAAUUACCGUUUACUAGUUAUGUAUCAUCGAGUCAACAACAUUUACGGUACUAAUUUUACUGCACCAGGUGUGUACGUUGUAUUUCGACAAUAGUUGGCUCUUCAGUGAUACUCUAGACAAAAUUUCAAAUUUAUAAAAAAGUCGAAUAGCUUAUAACAAAAACUGAAAAGUAUAGACAGAUUAUUGCAUAAAUAAGAGGAUUGCACCAGGGAGAAAAAAGUAUUUUUAUACAUCUCCGUGCAAGAUUACGUAUAUGUUGAAAGUACGAAUGUUAUUAUGAUAAGUACAUAUAUAUAUUUGUUAAAUUUUAGAUCCACUGUAAAGAGCUUGUAGACAAAUAUAUUGAGUUUGACCCAGUUAUCAUAUGUCUUGAUGCUUUAUUGUUGAAGAGAGAAGCAUUUCAGCAUGUUCUCAGCAAUAACUCAACCCAGGUAAGCUUGUACCGAACAACAACUAAUACUGUUGAUCCAUUUGUCAUGAUAAUAGAUAUUACAAUUGCUUCCAGUACUGAAAAUGAGUUAUGUCUCUGAACGAGUUCCACAAAAAUCAAAUGACUAAAACUAUUAAAACAAUGGUUAAAAGAUAUUCUCAUAUCUAAAAGCAAAACAAAGGUUAAUUAAGGGCGUGUGAUUGGCUGAUUAUGAUCUUUAAAUUGCUAGUCACUUAUGGUCGAAAAGUCUUGUAUUACGAAAAUGUCGCUCUUAUCGUAUUUUUAAGAUUUUAUGCUUAUAUAUACCUCUUUAUUUUUUUCUUAACUCUAGGGGAUAAAUGACUCAUUAGAAAUCAGACCACAAUUUCUUAUUAAAAACUAGUAUGGAAUUUAUUUUAGGAGUAUGUAGGGAGUAUGUCAAUUCUCCAACCUGUCAUAGUUUUCCAGUGCUGGUCCAAACUUCCCGUUCUUCAACACAGAACUAUUUUUCAGAGCUUACUUUUAAGAUUGUUUGUUAAUUUGUAAGCGUCCUGGGUAUGCAAUCAAUAUCUGUAGAUGGACGUCAAGCAAACAACUAUUAAUCUUGUAAAUAAGACAUAUGAAUUACCGGUUUGUACUAUCAUGAGCAACAAGAUGCGUGUUACAUGUGGAGCAGGAUCUGCUUACCAUUCCACAUUACCUGAGAUCAAACCUAGGUUUUGGCGGGAUUCUUUAUUAUUCUGUGUUGUGUUUUGUGUACCAUUGUUUGUCUGUUUGUCUUUUUCUUGUUAAGUCAUUGGCGUUGUCAGUUUUUUUUUGAUUUAUAAGUUUAAAUGUACCUCUAGUAUCUUUCACCCCUCUGUUAUACUUAAGUACCAAUACAUUUUUUAUUAGCCUUUUUCGGGGAAGUAUGUUAUGCACAGUAGGCGGAGAAAUGUCUGAUAAACAAAUGUGGAAUUCAUACCAAUAGUAUGACAUGGCUUUAUAGAAAUUAUUUGAAGAGAAAUCAUCCUUAUUAAGUCAAAACAGUGUUAUACCUCUUUCGCAUACCUUUCGGGUAUUUUAAAAAUCUUCAAUAAAAAAUUGUUGAUUUUUUUUCUUUAGAUGAAUAGACAAAUAUGUUCUGAAUAAUUCAGCAAGAAAACACAUUUACAAAUAUCUACGAUAGGUAGGUUUGAAUAUAAAAUCUCUACAUUUGAACCUAUAAAUCUAUAUAUAAUACUGUCGACUAUGAAAUAAUAUUACCACUGGUUUCUUGACACAACAACCUGUCGAACAAGGAUUUUGUUUUAUUAUAACAAUUUCCAGCCGCUGAAAGCGGAUCGUGUUGCUGUAUUGCCUAUGAUGGACGAACAGCCCGUUUUAGCUCGAACGGAAACAGCAUCACCGCGGUUAGCCUCUACUACGACUAUUUGUGUUGCUGAUGCGUAGUCAUUAUCAUGCUGAGAGUCGGGAUAAGAUUGUCCAAUAACAGCAUUAUUCAAGACAAGCUCGGUAUCGCAAACUGUAUGUACUACAAUAAUGGUCCAUGUAAAUACAUAGACCCCAGUUUCAGGUACGGUAUAUGCUCCAGUGUAAGGGUUGUAGGCUUGUCCUUUAUCUGUCAUCUCUUUGUCAAAUUUUAUCGGGUGGUUGAUUCCAGAGGGAGAAAUAUCAAUUGAAAGGUACGCAUGGAAGGCUAUCACCUGAUUGCUGCUAAUUUCCCUUUUCCUGAAAAAUAUCAUCUUUAUUUUUGAAGACAGUAUUUAGAUAGUUUCAGUUUUUGAUAGAGUUCGUAUUGCUCAGUCUUUGUAUAUAGUUUAUAUAGUUUUCUAUGGUGUUUUGUGUUUGUGUUUGUCUUUUUUAGCGAUGGCGUUGUCUGUUUAUUUUCGAAUAAUUUAUAUGAAUAUCCCUCUGGUAUAUUUUGCCUCUCCAGGGUAACAUUUGAAUUAUGUUUUUUUUAAUAAUUAAAUCUCUACUCAUAAAGUAAGUACUCAUCGGGUCAAUGAAUGCAUCUUAUUCGUCUGGCCGUUCGUCACACACAAUAUUUUCGUCAUACUUUUCUAACAGCAGUAUACUACUGUUGCCUUUAUAUUCCCCAGAAAAUUAUGAAAAGAAUGACAUCAUAUAUAGACUGAUAUGUAUAUGUAAGUAUUGUUAUGCGUUUACUUUGCUAUAUUGGUUAGAGGUAUAGGGGAGGGUUGAAAUCUCAUAAACAUGUUCAACCCGGCGGCAAUUUUACGCCUAUCCCAAGUCAGGAGCCUCUGGCCUUUGUUAGUCUGGUUUGAUUUUUAAUUUUAGUUUCUUGUCUGUAAUUCGGAAUUUAGUAUGAUGUGAAUUAUCACUGUACUAGUAUACAUAUUUGUUAAGGGGCCAGCUGAAGGACACUUUCGGGUGCUGGAGUUUCUCGCUACAUUAAUGACCCAUUGGUGGACUUCGUCUGUUGUCUGCUUUAUGGUCUGGUUGUUGCCGCUUUGACACAUUCCCCAUUUCCUUUCUCAAUUUUGUGAUGAAUAUGUCUCAAAUCUGAUCGAUAGCCUUGAGCGUAGGUAUCAAGACAGGGGACAACACCCAUCAGUCUACAUCGUAUAUUAUAUAUAUAUAUAAUAAAUGUAACGUGUAUUUUUUUAGGAUCUGUACAAAAAUUUCUUCCUGUUUGCCGAUCCAUUGAACUUUUUCACCUUGUUGAAUUAACUUAAACAUUUUUGUCACAUAUCCCCAGCAACUGCUGAACAAAAUGAUCUCAAAUGUGGACAUGUAGUGGUCCAUGCAAUAGAGGUAAAUUAUUACGCUUUUACAGUUUUCAAAUCGAUCUGUCAAUAUAACUUCUUUUUGAUACUUUGAAAUACGAGUUGAGGUAUGCUUAGCACGGCAACAUGAAAUCCAGGUGAAAAAGAUUUGAUUUUAAAUGUAAAUUUAUUAUGCUCUUUAGUAACAUUUCGCGCCCUUCUAAAAAAAAACCACGAUGGCAAUAGAGAUGAUAUCUUACUAGAUGAUGUCUUGUUAAAGGUCAUAAUGGUAUGACUACUCUUGAGAUGGGAAAAGGGUGACCGACGGGAUUACUGUGCUUAAGGAGGUUCGCUUCUCAGUUUCGAAAUAAGUUUUUCAUAACACUAGUAUAUAUUGAUAGGGGAUAAAUAAAGGAACCAAAAAUGCAAAAAAAAAAUAUGUAUAUAGGUCAAUGUGAUUGUUUUCGAGAUAUUAGCCAUUGAAAGUUUGGCGGGGAAAUGUUCUCUCUUGAUUUUUUUCAUAGAUUUAUCAUUGACAAAUUAAAGUUCUCAAAACUAUUAAAAAAUAACAAGGAUUUUAUAUUUUUAUUUACCAAUGACUUAUAAUUAAUUAUACAAGUAAAAGAUUAAUAAACAGAAAAAUGGGGGUCAACGGGCAAAAACUGUUAAGCCAUUAAAAUGGAUGAAUAAAGGCAACAGUACUAUACCGCUGUUCGAAACUCAUAAAUCGAUUAAUAAAAGAAACAAAUCCGGGUUACAAACUAUAACGAGGGAAACGCAUCAAAUAAAAGAGGAUUCGAAAAAUCUGACAAAAAACUCAAAACAUGACAAGUAGUAUAUAAUUAGUCAGGCUGAAUCGGAUAAGCUAGGAAUUUCUUAUUUAGCUCUUUUGGUUAGAGAGCUGACCUGAAACAUAAAGAUCCCGGAUUCGAAUCUGGGAGGAAAAAAAUUGUGAUUUUCUAAUAUGAAUCAUUCUCUCCGUUCACAAAAUCAUGAAGGUUUUUUUUUCUCAAAUUUUCUAUUAAACUUAAUUUACACGGAUUGUUUCGAAUCUGACCAUACACAUGUGAUCCAUAGAGUCCGUUAUUAAGAGUCACAAAUGGUGUUCAUAGGAAAAUCCCAAUCUGUCAAUAAAAUUUAUUGCCGAAUAACUGUUAGCAAAACCCCACCGCAUGACACGAAAAACACUUCUUAAAGCGUGUUGUAGUGGAAACUAUUAUUUCCCUUCAUGACUCAACUGUACUCUUUCAUUUUAAAGGACAUUUUGCAACACAUUUUUUAAAGGGUUCGAAGUUGGUCGUUAGCGAGACAGAUUUUUUUUUAUCCAUAUCAAACACCCCCUCAGUUUCCAGUGGCUGCCAAAGUUUUCAUCCGCAAUGUCGGUCACAUUUUUAUCUAUAGGAUUUAUUGUUCAAUAAGUUCUUCGUACAUUGUAUGCUAAUGUAUUUUAUUAAGAAGAAAAACAAGACAAAGAAAAAUUUGAAAACAAUUAAGAUACUUACGCGUAGAGCGUAAUUCGACUAUAUCAUCUGACAUUUUGUUUAUCUCCGAUUUAAUUCUUUGAAAAUCUGACAACUGCGCUGUCAUUAUUUUGUUCUCAUUCUCCAAUCGUAACAAGUCUUUGCGAAGGGAUUCUAUUUUUCUAUCACAUGUAGAUGUUUCCCCGUGACUAUCAUAUACCAAUAGUACGAACACUAGAAGCGACAAAACCAACAUUAUAAUCCGAAUACGCAGCUUUGUUGACUAUUAACAUAAUGUCAAAAUGGCUUAUCAGUUAUAAAAAGCGUAGUACUACGAAUUGUCAUUCAAGUGCUACUAAACUAUGUUAUCUUCAAGUAAAGAAUAUUGAAGGUAAAACUUAAUAAAUAAACGCAUAUAAAUAAUAUGCACUUUCCAACUUGCUGGUCUCAAGCGUUAUUAUUUAAAGCUACCAAAAGAAAUAAGUGACGUGUUCAUGAAAAUCAGUACCCAAUCACAAAUGUCAAACAGUGAAGGAAUAUGAAAUGCUUAAAGAAUAUGAGAAGACUUUCCGCGCAUUGUAUUUUGAAUUACAUGAUACAGACUGAAAUGAUUUUUUCAUGUCUCUGAUUUCAUGAUCAGAAUAACAAAAACAAGUUAUAUAAUUAUUUAUAUUUUAAAUUUCACAUGUUAAGUCAUAUACGAACGUUUUUUGUUACAAUUAGCUACUUGUUUCUGUAUUUAUGUUAAUGUCAACGCAUGAAGUCAUGAAAUAUCCUUACGCAUUUGUAGUUUCGUCAAAGACCACGAUAGAAAGCAAAGUUGAUGAACAUUUUGUAGAAAUUAGCAGGACAUUAAGGCUAUUCAUUUUGUGCUUUUCAAAUACACACUUUCUGUUGGACCAAAUCAUUGACACUAAUCAAUUAAAUAUUGAAGCUGUCACAGAAAAUGAAAACAAACUUCUUGGUUUUCCCGUUUUAAUGGUUUUACAGUUAGUAAUUGUUGGGCCCUUUAUAGCUUGUUCGGUGUGAGCCAAGGCUCCGUGUUAAAGGACGUACAUUGACUUAUAAUGGUUUACUUUUAUAAAUUGUUAUUUGGAUGGAGAGUCGUCUCAUUGGCACUCACACCAUAAAUUCCUAUAUCUAUUAUAAGUACGAAUUUGUAACGCAACAACUCCAUCUUAUUUUUUUUUUAAAUAACAGAAUGGAAACGGAUUUGUUUUAGGUAUCACCAUGUAAUUUGGCCUUUAAAAUGAUAGCAACUCUACCAUUACUCGUGAUGAUUAACAUGCCCUUAAAAAACAAACAGCUUUUGAUCCAUAUUCGACACACAUCGAGUUAUUCAUUUGAAAAUCGAAAUGUGUAUUAUGUCUGUUUGAAAUAACGGUCUCUUUAUGAGACAAAGAGAUAACAAAAUUUCCAAAAACCGAAGUUGACUAAUUUAAGUUCAAGGUUUUCCAUGAUAGAAUUGUAUUUACAUUAAAGUUUUACAUUCGGUGCACACAAGUGCAUGACAUUUGGCGAAAUAUUCAACUGAACAGAGUUGAUUAUUAUCAGAUAUGAUUUACCAUUCAAAAAUAACAGCACGUCGUUAACUCUUGCAGCCAAAGCGAUUUUUGUCGAGACUGCGAAUUUUGUUGCAAAAGCGAGACAUAGCGAUCUAACAUUUCAUCGUCGUCCUCGGCGGCGGCCAAAAGUAUUCACUCUGUGGUUGAAGUUUUUUUGAAAUUUAAAUGACUUUCUUUAAUUAUUCUGGAUUUGUACCAAAAUUGGACAUACGCUUGAUUAUGAUUUAUGAUCAAAUAAUAGUAAGCAGGAGAAAAAUGUCUGCCACUUAACACUACAUUAACUCUGUGGUCAAAGUUUUGAAAAGUUAGAUUACCUUCUUUAAAAGUAUCAUGGAUUUGUACCAAACUUGGACAGAAGCUUGUUUAUUAUCUAAAAUGACAUUUUGUGAAAUCUUAUUUCCUAUUUUGCAUAUAUACCUUGUAAAAGAACUUUGUUUUCCUUCAAUUUAACAAACAGUCUGGAGGUAAAAAUUUUUAAACAUUUAUUAGAUCAUAAACCAUUCUGAUUUUUAGCUCAACUGGCCCGAAAGGCCAAGUGAGCUUUUCCCAUCACUUGGCGUCCGGCGUCCGUCGUCCGUCGUCGUCCGUCGUCCGGCGCUAACUUUUACAAAAAUCUUCUUCUCUGAAACUACUGUGCCAAAUUUAACCAAACUUGGCCACAAUCAUCAUUGGGGUAUCUAGUUUAAACAAUGUGUCCGGUGACCCGGUCAACCAACCAAGAUGGCCGCCAUGGCUAAAAAUAGAACAUUGGGGUAAAAUGUGGUUUGUGGCUUAUAACUCAAAAACCAAAGCAUUUAGAGCAAAUCUGACAUGGGGUUAAAUUGUUCAUCAUGUCAAGAUCUAUCUGCCCUGAAAUUUUCAGAUGAAUCUGACAACCCGUUGUUGGGUUGCUGCCCCUGAAUUGGUAAUUUUAUGGAAAUUUUACUGUUUUUGUUUAUUAUCUUGAAUAUUAUUAUAGAUAGAGAUAAACUGUAAACAGUAAUAAUGUUCAGCAAAGUAAGAUUUACAAAUAAGUCAACAUGACUGAAAUGGUCAGUUGACCCCUUUAGGAGUUAUUGCCCUUAAUAGUCAAUUUUUAACCAUUUUUCGUAAAUCUUAGUAAUCUUUUACAAAAAUCUUCUCCUCUGAAACUACUGAGCCAAAUUAAUCCAAACUUGGCCACAAUCAUCAUUUUGGUAUCUAGUUUAAAAAUGUGUCUGGUGACCUGGCCAUCCAACCAAGAUGCCUGCCACGGCUAAAAAUAGAACAUAGGGGUAAAAUGCAGUUUUUGGCUUAUAUCUCAAAAACCAAAGCAUUUAGAGCAAAUCUGACCGGGUGUAAAAUUGUUAAUCAGGUCAAGAUCUAUCUGCCCUGAAAUUUUCAGAUGAAUUGGACAAGCCAUUGUUGGGUUGCUGCUCCUGAAUUGGUAAUUUUAAGGAAAUUUUGCUGUUUUUGGUUAUUAUCCUGAAUAUUAUUAUAGAUAGAGAUAAACUGUAAACAGCAAUAAUGUUCAGCAAAAUAAGAUUUACAAAUAAGUCAACAUGAUUGAAAUGGUCAAUUGACCCCCUAAUGAGUUAUUGUCCUUUAUAGUCAAUUUUUAAUAAUUUUCAUAAACUUUGUAAAUUUUACUAACAUUUUCCACUGAAACUAAUGGGCCAAUCAUUAUAGAUAGAGAUAAUUGUAAGCAGCAAGAAUGUUCAGUAAAGUAAGAUCUACAAACACAUCGCCAUCACCAAAACACAAUUUUGUCAUGAAUCCAUCUGUGUCCUUUGUUGAAUAUUCACAUAGACCAAGGUGAGCGACACAUGCUCUUUAGAGCCUCUAGUUUUAUUUCAUUGACUGUAAAUCUAUUAUGUGUAUUCCCUAAUCACACUGAAAACAUAGACAACAGCAAAAGUAGUCGAGAUACUGGGUUCCGCGUCACCCUUACAAGUUUUUGACUUCAGCAGUUAAGGUUUUGUUUAUCUAUCUUGUGUUAAAUAUAGAAAUACGUGUUUUUGAGCAAUCGAAUGAAAAUAUGUAACAUAUAUUGUUAUUGGACCGACAAAGUAUUGAGAGACUAAGAACUAGUAUGCUCCAUGUUCAGUUAACAUAUCACAAAAAUUACAGUUGCUCGUAUAUGAAUAGUAAAUAGUUAUCAAAAAUACCACGAUUAUAAUUUAGUACGCCAGACGCGCGUUUCGUCUCCAUAAGACUCACCAGUGACGCUCACAUCAAAAUAUUUAUAAUAUACAAGUACAAAGUUGAGCAUUGAGAAUCCAAAAUUCCAAAAAGUUGUUCCAAAUACAGCUAAGGUAAUCUAUGCCUGGGAUAAGAAAGGUAAACGUCGCGAUAUAGUCUUUUGCAAAGAUACUACGGAAAGCAUUCAAUAAUCAAUCAAUUUAUGAACUGCAAUUUAUUCUGAUGAUUUAAUACACCAUUUUUGUUCGGAAAUUGCCUGUGUCAUCCAUGACAUGACAUUUGUUUUUUACUUGUUCCUUUUAUUGAUUAUUUUUGAUUUUGUCACUUUUUAUUUAUUUCCCCUUUUUAUUUUACCUUGGAGUUCUGUAUUUGUGUUACAAAUUGCGUUUCAUAUAUUCGUCUGUGAAAAUGACAAAAACAGCAUGUUAUUGUACCCAACAUCGUUGGUAUCUAUAAUGAGAAAACUGACACAUGCUACCAUUUGAAUUUACUUUCCCAUGUAUUAAGUUUGUUCGAAUAAGUUUAAAUUAUAAUAAACCGUGUAAGAACAUGUCAAGGCAUAAAACAAGAGAAGUACACACACAAAUGGUUGUAUAGUUAAAACUAGAUUGAAUUUUAACAUAGCUGUCAUUAAAAUAGUUCUGUGAAGUACUAGUAAUAUGCAGCAAAUAAUAAAAUGAAUGGUAAAGAUAUGACUUUUGCAGUUUAAUUGAGAAUAGUACUGUACAAAGUACAAAAAGUAUGUUCAGUUGUUGUCCUCUUAUAGUUGACGUGUUUCCCUAAGGUUUGGUUUGUGACCCGGGUUCAAACCCGGGUCACAAACCAAACCUUAGGGAAUUCAGUUAACGACAAUUUAGAAUUGAUGACUUGUGAACAGCGGCAUACUUCUAUUACCUUUAUUUUUCAGAGUCUUCACAGUUCUAAUCAUUACAUACAAACUGCAUUCAUGUCCUAAUUUCUUUUAUUCAAUUAUCUUCCAGGCUCAAUGGAAACUAACUUCAAUAUUGUUACUUUUUGACGCAUACACAAAACUUGUUCAUCAGAGACAGAACGGAGACCAGAUCAACAGGCCUAUGCCAGAUAGCGUUUUAUACUCUGCAUUCGAAUGGGAUCUUUACUUCAACUAUUUUAUAGCCGUUAUAGGUAUAAAACAAUCCGUAAAUUAUGAAAGGAUGUUUUUAUUCAGAAAAAGAGUCAUUACAUGCAAUAAGUACGCUUUGAAAUUCAAUUUGAUGAUUAGAUUAGAAUGUUAAAGAAAUGUUUGCAAUAUAAUAUCGUUUUGGUGUAUAUCUAUUGUUUUUUGUGUGUUAAUUUUAAGUUCAUUGAUUUGAGUAAUUUCAUUAAAACUAAGGUCUCUACUAAGUUGAAUUACGCUUAUUCAUUCAAAGAGUUCCUUCAAUUUCUUUUUAUUAUUUUAAAUAUCCCAGAAACGAACGAAACGCAAUUUUAUUCACUGCUAUUAUAUUGUACUUUUUUCAGAACUAGUUAUAUGUAUAUGUGUCAUAUUGAUGGUGUUUGCCAUCGCCAGUAGGAUAAAGCCUUCCUUGGAAAAACUUGGGUAAGUUUCAUUUGAAUAGGUUACAUCACCCUAAUUAUCAGAUCCUUUUUGUUUACAUAUUUACACCAAUCUCAAUCAUACUUUGAAUACUUGGGUUAUUAAUGUAAUUUUGAAGACAGUAAAGCAUAGUUUAAACGGCCAAUUUCAAGUUUAUUUUUGGGGGGUUUUCUGUCACAUUUAGUUUUAAACUAAUCGUAUUAAUACAAAAAUAUUAUACCGUGAGGUAAUUAUAUAAAUACUGAUUAUACAAUGAGCUAGUGUUAUUGAAAAGUUCUAAGAUAGUAAUGGACUAAAUCAAACGCCGGACUACCAAAAGCGUGGCAAGGUCAAACUUAUCUAUAAAAUAGAAAAUACAAAAAAAAUACUAAGUUGUAUUUUGUUAUAAACAGGAUUUAAAAUUUGUAUACUCUUUGCUGCAACGUAUUCUUUUUUUUAAAUAUCAUAAUUGAUUAAUGUUUCCAAAACUGUAUAACAAAAAUAGUGUUGACUUGUUUAAAACGUCCUUAAUACAGAUAUUGAACGGACACAUUUAAAUUAAUUAAGGUUAUUAGGAACUGCAACUACUCGUGGUACUUUAUAUUUAAAUAUAUAAAUUUGAGAAACAAGCAUGUAAAAACGAAGAUGUGACAAAUGAUAAAUCGUUAAUACCCUUUUCUUUAUAUUUUGUUUGUAGAUUUAAUGAAAUCGUAAGAGCCAUUUUGUUGUCAAAUUUUGGUAAGGUAUUGGUGAUCCCUGCUGUGUUUUGGGGUUAUAACGAGAUGUAUGUGUGGUUAACAGCAAUAUUUGUCUGUGCAUCAAAUGUUCAAGCUUUUCGUGGUAAGUUACUUUUUUUAAUGAUUAUUUAAGGUUAUGCAUUUCUUAUUUAAGGUCUCUUUCAUGGAACCAGUUAUGUAGAUAUUAUUUUAUAUAUUGGAUCAGAUUCAUUUGGUUUAGAUAUAAGGGAAUCAAAAUUGCUACAUUUGUAGAAAAUGUGUUUAAACGCCUGGGAGAUGCUCCGUCGAUUGGUAAAAUUAACCUUUGAACUAUUUAUGUUAAAUUAUGUUAAAAAUACCCUAUUAAAAAGGGUUUACAUCAGGCUAUGUACUAUUCCCGUACAUCAUGAACAUACCUACCAAGAAAGUGAGAUCGCCUGCGUCGAUCGUGUCAACUUUUCCUUGUCGAGAUGUGUUUACCACAUAAAGCUAGUUUUCCUGUCUGAAAGUCAAAGUUUCUCUCCUGGUACGUUGGCUUCUUCCGCCAAUAAAAUCUGGCGUCCAUGAUGUGCCAAGUUAGCCGAAGCAGCAGAUAAAUAAUGCGUAGUUCUUUUUGAUUUUGGCAUUUGGCUAACAACCCAUUAAGUUGUUUGUUAUUCAAUACGUCAAAGUCAUCGGUUAUAACAUGACUAACAGGAAUGAUUACAGAAGAGCAACUAAUCAAGUUUAGUUUGAAGAUUACAAUAAUUAUUAUUCGUCUGUAUAUUUUUUUGUGUGUGAAUUUAAUAGUCUUAUAAUUACAUUAGAUGUAUGUUUCAUUUUAAUACUUUAUUCUGAUUGGGUAACUGCACAUCACAUGUUAUUCCGUAAGCAAUUGCAUCACUCAAUAAAACUGUUCAUUCAUGAUAACACGUGGUCCCACAAUAAAGUGCACAGGUGAAUUAAAUAAAAACAGUAUAAAAUUCGUGUUUUCUUGAUCAUAGCUCAAAAAUGUAAUUAUAAGUAUUGAAAGCUUCUUUUUGUAACUUCAUAGGGUUGUAAAAGCUUUGACCGUGCGCACAUUUUUAGAAUCAAGCGCUUCCGCGCUUCAUACAAAAUGUACUUCGGUCAACGCUUUUACACACCAAUGAAUUUACAAAAAGAAGCAUUCAAUUCUUAAAUAGAGAUUUUAUUUGACAUGGAGUUCAUUUUCAAUGUCCAGUUAUUUGCAUAUUUAUAGGUCGCGAUAUGGUCAUUGUUUCUAUAAUUUAAGAAAAGAGUCGAGACUAUGUAUGUGCGUUUGUUUCUGUUAAAGUACAAUUGCAAGUCAACCUACCGUGAUCACUGUUUUAUAGAAUAAACAAAUAGUGUUUUUUUUUAAUAUUAUCUAAUCUAAGACCAUUAUUUGUUGAAAUGCACAUCUGGUGCAUAAUCAUUUGUACUGUUGAUGUUAUUUACAUGAUUAUCCUAAUGAUAUAUUCACUUUUUUUUUCUAUUUCAGUUUUAUGUCCUUCAUGGCCAGCUAUUUUUAGUGCAGUUGUUGUCAUUUCAAGUCAUGUCAUAGCGUCUACAACUGGCAGCAUAAUUUAUAAUUUUCAUUUUGCGUUCAAAUAAACUUAUAAGUAGUUUCAGCCUGUAUUUUAUAUCUAGCAAUGUUCUGGAUGUUCAUAAUGCUCACAAUCAAAACAUUGAACCCUCAUAUUGUUUAAAGAAAUUAAUAAGCUGUAACACC